rnacentral:lncRNA from 1 species
UGUCUUCAAAUUGCAAAGUUGGAAAGCAGAGAAAUCGUGAUACAAUUUGGCAAGCGUGUCACGAUUUUGGUAAUGUCGAGAGCUGUUUUCAGGGUGUCCAAUCGUGACACGAUUUUGGGAAAACGUGACACGAUUUUCGACUUGCUGGGCAAGUUUUUCAGGAUAAGGUUGGUCGUACAUUGGGUCGUACGCAUCAAUCGUGACACGAUUAAUGGAAAACGUGACACGAUUUUGACGCUGAAGACUGCUAUAUAAGUGUUCUUUGCAGAUUUUGAAGGAGAGCUUGAAGAGAGAGAAACUUGGGAAAUCAAAGGAGGUAACUUCAGGGUUGAAGGUCUUUGAUUAGAG